rnacentral:rRNA from 1 species
GUGCCCAGAUGGGAUUAGCUUGUUGGUGAGGUAACGGCUCACCAAGGCGACGAUCCCUAGCUGGUCUGAGAGGAUGACCAGCCACACUGGAACUGAGACACGGUCCAGACUCCUACGGGAGGCAGCAGUGGGGAAUAUUGCACAAUGGGCGCAAGCCUGAUGCAGCCAUGCCGCGUGUAUGAAGAAGGCCUUCGGGUUGUAAAGUACUUUCAGCGGGGAGGAAGGUGUUGCGGUUAAUAACCGCAGCAAUU